AGCAAACGCGAAGCCGUAGCGAAAGCGAGUCUGAAUAGGGCGCUUAGUCAGAUGCUGCAGACCCGAAACGAAGUGAUCUAUCCAUGAGCAAGUUGAAGCUAGUGUAAGAACUAGUGGAGGACUGAACCCAUAGGCGUUGAAAAGCCCCGGGAUGACUUGUGGAUAGGGGUGAAAGGCCAAUCAAACUUCGUGAUAGCUGGUUCUCUCCGAAAUAUAUUUAGGUAUAGCGUUGUGUCGUAAUAUAAGGGGGUAGAGCACUGAAUGGGCUAGGGCAUACACCAAUGUACCAAACCCUAUCAAACUCCGAAUACCUUAUAUGUAAUCACAGCAGUCAGGCGGCGAGUGAUAAAAUCCGUCGUCAAGAGGGAAACAACCCAGACUACCAGCUAAGGUCCCUAAAUCUUACUUAAGUGGAAAACGAUGUGAAGUUACUUAAACAACCAGGAGGUUGGCUUAGAAGCAGCCAUCCUUUAAAGAAAGCGUAAUAGCUCACUGGUCUAGUGAUUUUGCGCGGAAAAUAUAACGGGGCUAAAGUAAGUACCGAAGCUGUAGACUUGCGCACAACUUAGAUUAUUUAAGUUUAGAAUAUGAGAAACUAAGUUAUAUUUUUACUGAUUUUUAUAGAGUAAAGAUAGAAAUAAAACUUAGUAAAAUCAGUAAAAAUAUUCUUAGGCUAAAGUUAAGUAGUUUAAGUUGUGUGCAAGUGGUAGGAGAGCGUUCUAUUUGCGUCGAAGGUAUACCGGUAAGGAGUGCUGGAGCGAAUAGAAGUGAGCAUGCAGGCAUGAGUAGCGAUAAUUAAUGUGAGAAUCAUUAACGCCGUAAACCCAAGGUUUCCUACGCGAUGCUCGUCAUCGUAGGGUUAGUCGGGUCCUAAGUCGAGUCCGAAAGGGGUAGACGAUGGCAAAUUGGUUAAUAUUCCAAUACCAACAUUAGUGUGCGAUGGAAGGACGCUUAGGGCUAAGGGGGCUAGCGGAUGGAAGUGCUAGUCUAAGGUCGUAGGAGGUUAUACAGGCAAAUCCGUAUAACAAUACUCCGAGAACUGAAAGGCUUUUUGAAGUCUUCGGAUGGAUAGAAGAACCCCUGAUGCCGUCGAGCCAAGAAAAGUUUCUAAGUUUAGCUAAUGUUGCCCGUACCGUAAACCGACACAGGUGGGUGGGAUGAGUAUUCUAAGGCGCGUGGAAGAACUCUCUUUAAGGAACUCUGCAAAAUAGCACCGUAUCUUCGGUAUAAGGUGUGGUUAGCUUCGUACUAGGAUUUACUCCGAAAGCGAAGAAACUUACAACAAAGAGUCCCUCCCGACUGUUUACCAAAAACACAGCACUCUGCUAACUCGUAAGAGGAUGUAUAGGGUGUGACGCCUGCCCGGUGCUCGAAGGUUAAUUGAUGGGGUUAGCAUUAGCGAAGCUCUUGAUCGAAGCCCGAGUAAACGGCGGCCGUAACUAUAACGGUCCUAAGGUAGCGAAAUUCCUUGUCGGUUAAAUACCGACCUGCAUGAAUGGCGUAACGAGAUGGGAGCUGUCUCAAAGAGGGAUCCAGUGAAAUUGUAGUGGAGGUGAAAAUUCCUCCUACCCGCGGCAAGACGGAAAGACCCCGUGGACCUUUACUACAGCUUGACACUGCUAUUUGGAUAAGAAUGUGCAGGAUAGGUGGGAGGCUUUGAGUAUAUGACGCCAGUUGUAUAGGAGCCAUUGUUGAGAUACCACUCUUUCUUAUUUGGGUAGCUAACCAGCUUGAGUUAUCCUCAAGUGGGACAAUGUCUGGUGGGUAGUUUGACUGGGGCGGUCGCCUCCCAAAUAAUAACGGAGGCUUACAAAGGUUGGCUCAGAACGGUUGGAAAUCGUUCAUAGAGUAUAAAGGUAUAAGCCAGCUUAACUGCAAGACAUACAAGUCAAGCAGAGACGAAAGUCGGUCUUAGUGAUCCGGUGGUUCUGUGUGGAAGGGCCAUCGCUCAAAGGAUAAAAGGUACCCCGGGGAUAACAGGCUGAUCUCCCCCAAGAGCUCACAUCGACGGGGAGGUUUGGCACCUCGAUGUCGGCUCAUCGCAUCCUGGGGCUGGAGCAGGUCCCAAGGGUAUGGCUGUUCGCCAUUUAAAGCGGUACGCGAGCUGGGUUCAGAACGUCGUGAGACAGUUCGGUCCCUAUCUGCCGUGGGCGUAAGAAGAUUGAAGAGAUUUGACCCUAGUACGAGAGGACCGGGUUGAACAAACCACUGGUGUAGCUGUUGUUCUGCCAAGAGCAUCGCAGCGUAGCUAAGUUUGGAAAGGAUAAACGCUGAAAGCAUCUAAGCGUGAAGCCAACUCUAAGAUGAAUCUUCUCUAAGCUCUCUAGAAGACUACUAGUUUGAUAGGCUGGGUGUGUAAUGGAUGAAAGUCCUUUAGCUGACCAGUACUAAUAGAGCGUUUGGCUUAUCUUUAAUAAAGCAU
rnacentral:rRNA from 1 species